rnacentral:rRNA from 1 species
GACGAGUGGCGGACGGGUGAGUAAUGCUUGGGAACUUGCCUUUGCGAGGGGGAUAACAGUUGGCAAACUGACUGCUAAUACCGCAUAAUGUCUUCGGACCAAACGGGGCUUCCGCUCCGGCGCAUAGAGAGGCCCAAGUGAGAUUACCUAGUUGGUAAGGUAACGGCUUACCAAGGCGACGAUCUCUAGCUGUUCUGAGAGGAAGAUCAGCCACACUGGGACUGAGACACGGCCCAGACUCCUACGGGAGGCAGCAGUGGGGAAUAUUGCACAAUGGGGGAAACCCUGAUGCAGCCAUGCCGCGUGUGUGAAGAAGGCCUUCGGGUUGUAAAGCACUUUCAGUUGUGAAGAAAAGUUAGUAGUUAAUACCUGCUAGCCGUGACGUUAACAACAGAAGAAGCACCGGCUAACUCCGUGCCAGCAGCCGCGGUAAUACGGAGGGUGCGAGCGUUAAUCGGAAUUACUGGGCGUAAAGCGCACGCAGGCGGUUUGUUAAGCUAGAUGUGAAAGCCCCGGGCUCAACCUGGGAUGGUCAUUUAGAACUGGCAGACUAGAGUUCUUGGAGAGGGGAGUGGAAUUCCAGGUGUAGCGGUGAAAUGCGUAGAUAUUCUGGAGGAACAUCAGUGGCGAAGUGCGACUCCCCUG